UACAGAGGUCUCAAGCGUUGUUCGGAUUCAUUGGGCGUAAAGGGUGUGUAGGUGGCGCGCUAAGUCAGGUGUGAAAUCUCGGGGCUCAACCCCGAAACUGCACUUGAUACUGCGAUGCUCGAGUACUGGAGAGGAGAUUGGAAUUUACGGUGUAGCAGUGAAAUGCGUAGAUAUCGUAAGGAAGACCAGUGGCGAAGGCGAAUCUCUGGACAGUUACUGACACUGAGGCACGAGGGCCAGGGGAGCAAACGGG
rnacentral:rRNA from 1 species